rnacentral:rRNA from 1 species
GGUUUUUUGUUUUAUAUAAAAAAUCUGGCCUGCUCAGUGAAUUUUAAAUAGCUGCAGUAUUUUGACUGUACAAAGGUAGCAUAAUCACUUGUCCUUUAAUUGAGGUCUGGAAUGAAUGGUUUGAUGAAAGAAAUACUUUAUUUAUUUUAAAUAAAAAAUUUAAUUUUUAAGUGAAAAAGCUUGGAAAUUUUUUUGUAGGACGAGAAGACCCUAUAGAACUUUAUUUUUUAUUUUUAUAUUUUAUUGGGUUAUAUAUUUUUAGUAAAAUUAGAAAAAUUUUGUUGGGGUGACAAAAAAAAUAUCAUAACUUUUUUUAAUUAUUACAUAAGUUAAUGUGUUUUUGAUCCUUCUUUUGGAAAAAAGAAUAAGUUACCUUAGGGAUAACAGCGUUAUUAUUUCGGAGAGUUCAUAUCGAUGGAAUAGUUUGCGACCUCGAUGUUGGAUUAAAAUAAGAUAUAUAAGUAGAAUGUUAUAUUCUUGGUCUGUUCGACCUUUAAAUUUUUACAU